rnacentral:rRNA from 1 species
UACGUAGGCAGCAAGCGUUGUUCGGAGUUACUGGGCGUAAAGGGUGUGUAGGCGGUUCCUUAAGUUUGCUGUGAAAUCUCCCGGCUUAACCGGGAGGGUGCGGUGAAUACUGAGGGACUAGAGUACGGGAGAGGAAAGUGGGAAUUCCUGGUGUAGCGGUGAAAUGCGUAGAUAUCAGGAGGAACACCGGUGGUGUAGACGGCUUUCUGGACCGUAAACUGACGCUGAGACACGAAAGCGUGGGGUAGCAAACAGG